AUGGCUUCCCGCCUCAUAACCAGAUCAACGGCCGCGGCCCUCCUCUCCCACCUCCGCUCCAGGACGCCGAAUCCUACCCACCACCUCCCCACACAUGGAGCUGCCAUGUCCUCCCUUCUGGGACCCACUCACGGCCUUCGUGCCACCGUCGGAUCACGCCCCCUCCUCGAGCCGACUCGGUGGUUCUCUUCGCCGGCGCCGGUGGUGGAGGCGCCGAGGACGGUUGACGGCCUGACUGUGGACUCUAUUGCCGACAAGGGCUGGACGAUCCUCGCCGACGCCGAGAGCGACUGGCGCAGCCACGCCGCCGCCGUCGCGCAGUCCAUCAGGCUUAUUAAGAAGCGUCUCAAGUGGAAAUGGUUACUGGAGAGGUCGAAGCAGUUGGCUGUGGUAUUGGAGAAGCCAGACCUUUGGGAGGAUCCAGUUUUUGCUGGGAAUGUUAGUCGUGAACAAGGCGAGCUCAUGGGCAAGAUUAAGUCAGUGAACCAAUUUGAGCAACAAUUGAUGGAGCACAUCGACAUGUUGAGGCUUGCACGUGAAGAGGGUGACAAUGAACUCGAGACGGAAUCCAUGAGAGCAUUGGCCGAUAUGAGAAGAGAUGCAAAGGAGAAAGAACUCAAUGCAUUGCUUUCUGGAGAUAAUGACGUUUACCCUUGCUUCAUUGAGGUCCAAGCAGGAGCCGGAGGUGUUGAGAGCAUGGAUUGGGCUGCCAUGGUUAUGAACAUGUACAGAUCAUGGGCUCAGCGACGAGGAUACAGAGUCACUGUAAUAGAAGAAAUUCCUGGUGAACUAGCAGGAAUCAAGAGGGCUACUAUCAAAGUUGAUGGUGAGUAUGCAUUUGGAUAUGCCAAAUCUGAAAUAGGAGUUCACAGAUUAGUGCGGAUUUCUCCAUUUGACAGUGGAAAGCGGCGGCACACUUCCUUUGCUGCUGUUGCUGUAAUACCUAUUCUUGGUGAGGCCUCUAGCCGAUACCAGAUAAACGAAUCAGAUCUUCGGAUUGAACGCUUCCGUUCUGGUGGACCUGGCGGCCAGCAUGCCAACACCACAGAAAGUGCUGUUAGAAUUGUGCACAUCCCAACUGGUACAACGGCAACUUGUCAAAAUGAAAGGUCACAACAUAUGAAUAGGGCAUCAGCAAUGGCGGUGCUUCAAUCUAGGUUGGACCAGCUUGAGAUUACCCGUCAAGCGCAGAUGAAUGCAGAGCACACACAAUCACUCUCUGAAAUAAGCUGGGGAAACCAAAUAAGAUCGUAUGUGCUACAGCCAUACCGUAUGGUGAAAGAUCUCCGGACAAACUAUGAAGUGUCUGAUCCCGAUUCAGUCCUGGAAGGCGACCUGGACGAUUUCAUACUGAGCUUUUUGUCAUUAUCAUUGAAUAAAGCUGAUGAAAGUGUCUGA
rnacentral:rRNA from 1 species